rnacentral:tRNA from 1 species
GGGUCGAUGGUGUAGUGGUAUCGCGCCUCUUUAGCAACAAAUUACCGUUUCCGGUAGUUUCAAUUUAGAGGAGGUCCGGGGUUCAAUUCCCCGUCGAUCCA